GACGAACGCUGGCGGCGUGCUUAACACAUGCAAGUCGAACGGAAAGGCCCUGCUUUUGUGGGGUGCUCGAGUGGCGAACGGGUGAGUAACACGUGAGUAACCUGCCCUUGACUUUGGGAUAACUUCAGGAAACUGGGGCUAAUACCGGAUAGGAGCUCCUGCUGCAUGGUGGGGUUUGGAAAGUUUCGGCGGUUGGGGAUGGACUCGCGGCUUAUCAGCUUGUUGGUGGGGUAGUGGCUUACCAAGGCUUUGACGGGUAGCCGGCCUGAGAGGGUGACCGGCCACAUUGGGACUGAGAUACGGCCCAGACUCCUACGGGAGGCAGCAGUGGGGAAUAUUGCACAAUGGGCGGAAGCCUGAUGCAGCAACGCCGCGUGCGGGAUGACGGCCUUCGGGUUGUAAACCGCUUUCGCCUGUGACGAAGCGUGAGUGACAGUAAUGGGUAAAGAAGCACCGGCUAACUACGUG
rnacentral:rRNA from 1 species